UGGUAACAAGAGAAGGCAGAGUGGGAGCCGAAUGGAAUGUGAGAAAAUGGAAGAAUGAGAUUGACAAAGAAGUGAAAUGUGUGGGACUGAAUGAAUGGAAGAAUGAAAUGGAAAGAAAGAAGACCCUGGAAUGGUACAAGGAGAAAGAGGCCCCGAGGUAUGAAAGGUGGUAUGAUGGAAGCCUGGGCAGUGAUCUCUUCCGAGCGAGGGCACAAUGUAUGGAUGUGAAUGCAAGGAGUUACAGGUGGUCUGAGUCCAGCAGCAAAGUGUGCCAGAUGUGUGACACGGGAGAGGAUGAGACGGUGGAACAUGUGGUGCUGGAGUGUGUGAAGUAUGCCAGAGACAGGAAUGAGAUGAUGCAAGUGAUACUGACUGAGUUAGGGCAUGAUAGGAAUGAAAGAGUGGAGAAGACAGGAAAGGAAUGGAUGGUGUUGCUGGGACUGUGUAGAGAGGCGAAUGAAAGGAUGAUUGAGGCGGUGAAAGAGUUUCUGGAGAGAAUGUGGCGUGCCAGAUGUAGGAACAGUUACAGUAGAUGAUGUUGUUUGUUGUUUUUUUUUUUUUUCCCCUUCUACAGGAGUUGCCGAUCCAAAGGCCUGGUUUAAGCGUGAUCCCGACCUACCUGUACCAUCAAGAUCAAGAUCGAGCGUCCAUAUCAGAUGGCGAGUCUGCUUACAAAAUUGCAUCGGAGGGAUUGGUAGAGGCAGCCACAAUUAUCCAUCAUCAUCGGCGACACCAUGGCUCUUGAGAAGACCUCCUCUUCUCUCUUCCCAUCUCUUCCUCCUCCUAGCCCAACCAAGCCUAAUUCUCUCUCUCUCUCUCUCUCUCUCUCUCUCUCUCUCUCUCUCUCUCUCUCUCUCUCUCUCUCUCUCUCUCUCUCUCUCUCUCAGACAGACAGACCUCGAUGACAGCGUGGUGAGCGAGGAGGGGGAGUCAACCAGCAGAGUGGGGGAGCAUGACCCCUACUUUGAACCUGUGGUGACCUUGCUGGAGGUCUUCGUGGUUAGUGAUGAUGACCAGGAGGAGGAAAUGAUAAGACUGAGUUUCAAGGUCAGGUCAGGCAGUACAAGCUGUUUCUUUAUCACACCUCUGAGUCGCCCCCACAGUGGAAGGAACGGGGCAUGGGGGCCAUUAACAUUCUGAGGAACAAGCAGAAGAAGGCUGUGGAGUUUGUUCAGCGGCAGAAUUAAUGCCAGUGGCUGAGUUCAGAUCCUCCAAGACACACGGACACACAUACAGCAGCCCCUCCACCUCCCCACAGCCCUCCACAGUCUCUGACACAGCCCCUGACACAGCAUCUGACACAGCCCCUUCACAGACCACCACUUACCUCACACAUACAUAAGAACAUAAGAAAUAAGGGAAGCUGCAAGAAGUGACCAGGCUUACACGUGGCAGUCCCUGUAUGAAAUAUACCUACUUAUUUCCAUCUGUUAUCCCCAUCCAUAAACUUGUCUAAUCUUCUCUUAAAGCUCUCUAGUGUCCUACCACUAACUACAUGAUUACUGAGUCCGUUCCACUCAUCUAUCACUCUUUUUGAGAACCAAUUUUUUCUUAUCUCCUUCCUAAACCUAAAUUUUUUAAGCUUGUACCCAUUAUUUCUUUUCUACCCUGGUUGCUGAUCCUAAGAAUUUUGCCUACAUCCCCCUUAUAUCACUCAAAGACUUCUAUCAGGUCCCCUCUUAACCUACGUAUCUCUAAAGAAUGUAAAUUUAACAGCUUCAACCUCGCCUCGUAAGGAAUACUCCUCAUCCUCUGUAUCCUUUUAGUCAUUCUCCUCUAUACUGAUUCUAAUAGACCUAUAUCUUUCCUGUAAUGUGGGGACCAGAACUGCACAGCGUAGUCUAGAUGAGGUCUGACCAGCACCAAGUAUAACUUUAAUACUACUUCUGGCCUUCUACUUUUAACACUCCUAAAAAUCCCACACACCACAAGAGCCUCACAAACAGUCUGACAGCCUUCACAAGCAGCCCCACACUCCACCACAGACACACCAGACCCACAGCCCUUCACCUCACCCACUUCCCAGCCCCCCACAGCCCCCCAGCCACCACAAGUGAAGUCAAAGGAACGGACUGUGGCUUCACCCAGCCAGCCAGGACAGCCUACAGAGAGGGGGUAGUCCCAGUCAAGUCACAAAAUAUAGGCUUGGUUCUUCCUACAGUUUGAAGUCAAUGAUUGGACAGGUGGAAAGGUGGUGGUGGUGGUGGUGGUGGUGCUUCUUUCAUUCUCUUUGUUUACUUAUUGUUUUUUUCUUUCCAUUCUCUCUCUCUCUCUCUCUCUCUCUCUCUCUCUCUCUCUCUCUCUCUCUCUCUCUCUCUCUCUCUCUCUCUCUCUCUCUCUCUCUCUCUCUCUCUCUCUCUCUCUCUCUCUCUCUCUCUCUCUCUCUCUCUCUCUCUCUUUGCCCUUCACUAUUGUUAGGUAAUAAUUGCAGUAACAGCAGUAGUCAUAGUUAUUAUUGUAUAUCUUUUUAACACUUGAGAACAGUGUAGCAGUAGUAGUAGUAGUAGUAGUUGGCAGGAAUUAAGUACAAUAUUAAAUAUAUUCUGAUCCUGAUUUGUGUUGCAGGUCAGACAGCUUAGUGGCAGAGCUGCAGGUGGCCCUCUUCAGCUUCCUGGUGGCACAGGUGUAGGAUGGCUGGGAGCAGUGGAGGUGCCUGGUGGGGCAGCUGUGCCGGGUAGAGGGGCUGCUGCUGCUGCUGCUGCUGCUGGGGAGAGCCACACUUGUGUGGUGGUAACACGGAGAGGAAGUGGAAGAAAGCUUGGGACGCUCCCAUAACUCAGGAGCAAGAAAUACACCUUACUGAAAACCUUGUGACUGACAGGUGGUGGUGACUGCAGGAACCAAUUCAG